rnacentral:tRNA from 1 species
GGAGGGGUGUCCGAGCCCGGUUUAAGGAGACGGUCUUGAAAACCGUUGAACCCUGAGUGGUUCCGUGGGUUCGAAUCCCACCCCCUCCGCCA